AUUGAACGCUGGCGGCAGGCCUAACACAUGCAAGUCGAACGGUAACAGGAAGCAUCUUGCUGCUUCGCUGACGAGUGGCGGACGGGUGAGUAAUGUCUGGGAAGCUGCCUGAUGGAGGGGGAUAACUACUGGAAACGGUAGCUAAUACCGCAUAAUGUCGCAAGACCAAAGAGGGGGACCUUCGGGCCUCUUGCCAUCGGAUGUGCCCAGAUGGGCUUCGCUUGUUGGUGGGGUAACGGCUCACCAAGGCGACGAUCCCUAGCUGGUCUGAGAGGAUGACCAGCCACACGGGAACUGAGACACGGUCCAGACUCCUAAGGGAGGCAGCAGUGUGGAAUAUUGCACAAUGGGCGCAAGCCUGAUGCAGUCAUGCCGCGUGUAUGAAGAAGGCCUUCGGGUUGUAAAGUACUUUCAGCGGGGAGGAAGGGAGUAAGGUUAAUACCUUGGCUCAGUGACGUUACCCGCAGAAGAAGCACCGGCUAACUCCGUG
rnacentral:rRNA from 1 species